rnacentral:lncRNA from 1 species
GACACACCGCCGUCCGCGGGCUGAGCUUCAGUGACACCGAAGGGCACUGGCCAACAUGUCAAAACAGUUUUGAUUCCAUGAACCAAAGGGCGCACAAGGUCUAUUGCAAGCUCAGGUGAAGUCGUGGGACUCCAAAGGUAGUGGCUUUCUUGCUGCUGGUCGAUUUGCAUUACAGAGGCCGUUUACUUUCAAUUCCACUUUUACAAAAGUAGUCAAGCUCUGUAUUUCACAGGAAAUUGCUUUGGAGAUGAGGAAACAAACUCUUAUGGAGACCUAAGAGACUGAAGACAUCUGGCGUGGACUACUCUGAUGGUAAAAUUGAAAGUACACCUAAAUUUGCUUUGUUACAGGAUUCUCUUCAGAGGACAAGAGAAGAUGUUACAUUCUCUGCAUGAGGACAAUUCUGCAGCAUCAAAAUCGAAUAAUAUUUGUUUUCUGGCAGCAGAAUUUUGUAUCAUAUUUCUAAAGACAGUAAGCACUUGGGUGGACGUCAAUGAAUACUAAACACUAAUUGAUCUGAUACAGCCGUAUGCACAUACACAGAUAUACAUGGUGGCUUGU